AUUGAACGCUGGCGGCAGGCCUAACACAUGCAAGUCGAACGAGUGGCGGACGGGUGAGUAAUGUCUGGGAAACUGCCUGAUGGAGGGGGAUAACUACUGGAAACGGUAGCUAAUACCGCAUACCAUCAGAUGUACCCAGAUGGGAUUAGCUAGUAGGUGGGGUAAAGGCUCACCUAGGCGACGGUCCCUAGCUGGUCUGAGAGGAUGACCAGCCAGAAUGGAACUGAGACACGGCACAGACUCCAACGGGAGGAAGCAGUGGGGAAUAUUGCACAAUGGGCGCAACCCUGAUGCAGACAUGCCGCGUGUGUGAAGAAGGCCUUCGGGUUGUAAAGCACUUUCAGCGAGGAGGCGUUAAUCGCAGAAGAAGCACCGGCUAACUCCGUGCCAGCAGCCGCGGUAAUUC
rnacentral:rRNA from 1 species